GUAGGGUGCAAGCGUUGUCCGGAAUUACUGGGCGUAAAGAGUUCGUAGGCGGUUUGUCGCGUCGUUUGUGAAAACCAGCAGCUCAACUGCUGGCUUGCAGGCGAUACGGGCAGACUUGAGUACUGCAGGGGAGACUGGAAUUCCUGGUGUAGCGGUGAAAUGCGCAGAUAUCAGGAGGAACACCGGUGGCGAAGGCGGGUCUCUGGGCAGUAACUGACGCUGAGGAACGAAAGCGUGGGUAGCGAACAGGAUUAGAUACCCUGGUAGUCCACGCCGUAAACGGUGGGCGCUAGGUGUGGGUUCCUUCCACGGAAUCCGUGCCGUAGCUAACGCAUUAAGCGCCCCGCCUGGGGAGUACGGCCGCAAGGCUA
rnacentral:rRNA from 3 species